rnacentral:rRNA from 1 species
UAGAGUUUGAUCAUGGCUCAGGGUAAGCGCCGAAGAGGAGAUGGACGGCCUGGACCUUGGCGAGCAUGGCAUGAUGGCUUAUCCCGACUUCCAGCAGAUCGCGGAAGCUGGCGGCUCCACCAUGACCAUGGCUAAGGAUGAUAUGGUGGGUUCCAGGGUGCUCACGGAAAGCGAGCAGAAGUCGUAACAAGGUAACCGUAAGUCGUAACAAGGUGACCGUAGAGUUUAAUCAUGGCUCAGGAAAGUCGUAAUAAGGUAACCGUAAGUCGUAACAAGGUAACCGUAAGUCGUAACAAGGUAACCGUAGGUCGUAACAAGGUAGCCGUAGAGUUUGAUCAUGGCUCAGGAAAGUCGUAACAAGGUAACCGUAGAGUUUGAUCAUGGUUCAGGAAAGUCGUAACAAGGUAACCGUAAGUCGUAACAAGGUAACCGUAGAGUUUGAUCAUGGCUCAGGAAAGUCGUAACAAGGUAACCA